GGAGUUUGUUCUGUGAGUGAGGCAUUCUGCCACUAUCAGAUCUGUUUCUUUUCCUGCGCAUUUUAGGUACCUGUGUGUUCUUUGAAAGCAGAUCCUAGAGCACAGUCCUUGGCCUCCAGGUCGCAUUCAUUGACUGCAGGAGUGGCAGGAGGACACCAGGACACGAAAAGACAGGAAAUGGUGAAUGCUGUUGAGCGUCCCAGGUGUGGGAGGAGGCAGCUGCAACCUGGAGGCGGUGGCUGCUGCAAAACAAAAGAAGCGAGCAUGCCUGAGACAGUGGUUACUAACCACUGAACACGGGAAUGAAUGCUGGUCUCAUGCUGGGAAACAGUUUGUAACGUGUUCAGACUGCAUGCUUUCCAAGUCUCCUGAGGACAGCGCGACUAGAAACAGUGCGAUUCAUGUAUGGUGAGGUAAGUCUCUUUGAGAACACUAAACAUUCACAUAGCAUUUCAACACAGAUUUCAAUCCACAAUCUUAUGCAUACUUGGAUAUGUAAUGAUAUCAACGCAAAUUAUGGUCUUUUUUGUCUUCUUGUUACUGUGUUUGUUUCUGGUUUUAUUUGUUUGUCUGUUUGAAACAGCAUUUUACUGCAUACCCCUGACUGUCCUGAAAAUUACUCUGUAGAUCAGGCUGGCCUCUCUUACACAGAGAUCCACCUGCUUCUGCCUGCUGAGUGCUGAGAUUAAAGGUGUGCGCCUCUACCACUACCACUACCACUACCACUGAGUCAAUCUUCUGCUUGAAUACAUGCAUAUCCAAGAAGUAAAUUGACAGUCCCAAUUAGGACAGUUAGGAAUUUCUAUUUUCUUAUCAUGAUCAACCUGUCCCCAUGACUUGUGGAUAAAUCAAUAUAACAUUGAGUUUUGUAAGUGUGUUCAUUUACUGUGUUUGUGGGUGCACACGUAUACUACGGUACAUGGGAGAUGUGCAGGACAGCUUUCAGAAGUACUGUUUCCUUCCAUGUCAAUGAAGCAGGCUUUCUGUGAGAAGUGCUGGGAUUACAGAUAUGUCCUGUUUUAUGUGGAUUUGGGGAACUGAACUCAGACCAUUGUGAUUACAUGGCCAGCACUAUGGCUGGCUGGGCAAUCUUUUUACUUCCUUUGUUAUCAUUCUGAAAGGAUGAGGUAUGUCCUGAAGAGUUUUCUGUUAAAUAGACACAACGUGGAGUCAUCUGGGAAAAAAAAAAAAAAAA
rnacentral:lncRNA from 1 species